AACGAACGCUGGCGGCAUGCCUAACACAUGCAAGUCGAACGAGACCUUCGGGUCUAGUGGCGCACGGGUGCGUAACGCGUGGGAACCUGCCCUUAGGUUCGGAAUAACUCCCCGAAAGGGGUGCUGAUACCGGAUAAUGUCUUCGGACCAAAGAUUUAUCGCCUUUGGAUGGGCCCGCGUUGGAUUAGCUAGUUGGUAGGGUAAAAGCCUACCAAGGCGACGAUCCAUAGCUGGUCUGAGAGGAUGAUCAGCCACACUGGGACCGAGACACGGCCCAGACUCCUACGGGAGGCAGCAGUGGGGAAUAUUGGACAAUGGGCGAAAGCCUGAUCCAGCAAUGCCGCGUGAGUGAUGAAGGCCUUAGGGUUGUAAAGCUCUUUUACCCGGGAUGAUAAUGACAGUACCGGGAGAAUAAGCUCCGGCUAACUCCGUG
rnacentral:rRNA from 1 species